ACUAGCUAGUUGGCCGUGGGUCGAAAGGCCGUGGGUUGAAAACCCACCCUACGGCGUUUCUAGGUGUUCCACCCGCCCCAUUUGGUG
rnacentral:tRNA from 1 species